GUGUCAGCCGCCGCGGUAAUACGUAGGGUGCGAGCGUUAAUCGGAAUUACUGGGCGUAAAGCGUGCGCAGGCGGAUUGUUAAGCAAGAUGUGAAAUCCCCGGGCUUAACCUGGGAAUGGCAUUUUGAACUGGCAGUCUAGAGUGUGUCAGAGGGGGGUGGAAUUCCACGUGUAGCAGUGAAAUGCGUAGAUAUGUGGAGGAACACCAAUGGCGAAGGCAGCCCCCUGGGAUAACACUGACGCUCAUGUACGAAAGCGUGGGUAGCAAACAGGAUUAGAAACCCCCGUAGUCC
rnacentral:rRNA from 1 species